UUAAAUUGAAGAGUUUGAUCAUGGCUCAGAUUGAACGCUGGCGGCAGGCCUAACACAUGCAAGUCGAACGGUAACAGGAAGCAGCUUGCUGCUUUGCUGACGAGUGGCGGACGGGUGAGUAAUGUCUGGGAAACUGCCUGAUGGAGGGGGAUAACUACUGGAAACGGUGGCUAAUACCGCAUAACGUCGCAAGACCAAAGAGGGGGACCUUCGGGCCUCUUGCCAUCAGAUGUGCCCAGAUGGGAUUAGCUUGUUGGUGAGGUAACGGCUCACCAAGGCGACGAUCCCUAGCUGGUCUGAGAGGAUGACCAGCCACACUGGAACUGAGACACGGUCCAGACUCCUACGGGAGGCAGCAGUGGGGAAUAUUGCACAAUGGGCGCAAGCCUGAUGCAGCCAUGCCGCGUGUAUGAAGAAGGCCUUCGGGUUGUAAAGUACUUUCAGCGGGGAGGAAGGUGUUGUGGUUAAUAACCGCAGCAAUUGACGUUACCCGCAGAAGAAGCACCGGCUAACUCCGUGCCAGCAGCCGCGGUAAUACGGAGGGUGCAAGCGUUAAUCGGAAUUACUGGGCGUAAAGCGCACGCAGGCGGUCUGUCAAGUCGGAUGUGAAAUCCCCGGGCUCAACCUGGGAACUGCAUUCGAAACUGGCAGGCUUGAGUCUUGUAGAGGGGGGUGGAAUUCCAGGUGUAGCGGUGAAAUGCGUAGAGAUCUGGAGGAAUACCGGUGGCGAAGGCGGCCCCCUGGACAAAGACUGACGCUCAGGUGCGAAAGCGUGGGGAGCAAACAGGAUUAGAUACCCUGGUAGUCCACGCCGUAAACGAUGUCUACUUGGAGGUUGUGCCCUUGAGGCGUGGCUUCCGGAGCUAACGCGUUAAGUAGACCGCCUGGGGAGUACGGCCGCAAGGUUAAAACUCAAAUGAAUUGACGGGGGCCCGCACAAGCGGUGGAGCAUGUGGUUUAAUUCGAUGCAACGCGAAGAACCUUACCUGGUCUUGACAUCCACGGAAGUUUUCAGAGAUGAGAAUGUGCCUUCGGGAACCGUGAGACAGGUGCUGCAUGGCUGUCGUCAGCUCGUGUUGUGAAAUGUUGGGUUAAGUCCCGCAACGAGCGCAACCCUUAUCCUUUGUUGCCAGCGGUCCGGCCGGGAACUCAAAGGAGACUGCCAGUGAUAAACUGGAGGAAGGUGGGGAUGACGUCAAGUCAUCAUGGCCCUUACGACCAGGGCUACACACGUGCUACAAUGGCGCAUACAAAGAGAAGCGACCUCGCGAGAGCAAGCGGACCUCAUAAAGUGCGUCGUAGUCCGGAUUGGAGUCUGCAACUCGACUCCAUGAAGUCGGAAUCGCUAGUAAUCGUGGAUCAGAAUGCCACGGUGAAUACGUUCCCGGGCCUUGUACACACCGCCCGUCACACCAUGGGAGUGGGUUGCAAAAGAAGUAGGUAGCUUAACCUUCGGGAGGGCGCUUACCACUUUGUGAUUCAUGACUGGGGUGAAGUCGUAACAAGGUAACCGUAGGGGAACCUGCGGUUGGAUCACCUCCUUACCUUAAAGAAGC
rnacentral:rRNA from 3 species